rnacentral:rRNA from 1 species
CAUANCCGUUAAACUGCUUGGGAAACUGAUAAUCUAGAGUAAGGGAGAGGCAGAUGGAAUUCUUGGUGUAGGGGUAAAAUCCGUAGAUAUCAAGAAGAAUACCUAUUGCGAAGGCGAUCUGCUGGAACUUAACUGACGCUAAUGCGUGAAAGCGUGGGGAGCAAACAGGAUUAGAUACCCUGGUAGUCCACGCCCUAAACGAUGUAUACCGGUUGUUGCUGUGCUAGUCACGGCAGUAAUCCACCUAACGGAUUAAGUAUACCGCCUGGGGAGUACGGUCGCAAGAUUAAAACUCAAAGGAAUAGACGGGGACCCGCACAAGCGGUGGAGCAUGUGGUUUAAUUCGAGGAUACGCGAAGAACCUUACCCGGACUUGAUAUCUAACAAAUCAUCCAGAGAUGGAAGAGUGCCUGCUUGCAGAAAUGUUAAGACAGGUGCUGCACGGCUGUCGUCAGCUCGUGUCGUGAGAUGUUGGGUUAAGUCCCGCAACGAGCGCAACCCACGUCAUUAGUUGCUAACGGUUCGGCCGAGCACUCUAAUGAGACUGCCUUCGUAAGGAGGAGGAAGGUGUGGACGACGUCAAGUCAUCAUGGCCCUUAUGUCCGGGGCGACACACGUGCUACAAUGGCAUAUACAAUAAGACGCAAUAUCGUAAGAUGGAGCAAAUCUAAAAAAUAUGUCCCAGUUCGGAUUGGAGUCUGAAACUCGACUCCAUGAAGCCGGAAUCGCUAGUAAUCGUAGAUCAGCCAUGCUACGGUGAAUACGUUCCCGGGUCUUGUACUCACCGCCCGUCACACCAUGGGAGUUGAUUUCACUCGAAG